rnacentral:lncRNA from 1 species
AUGCAGCUUCUCUGUAUUGUCAAGGUCAACAUCCAGUGUUAUAAAGUGAUACAGUCCUGAACUGGAAUUAUCAAUGUUUAAAACAACAUCUACAGACUCAACAUUCAUAUGCAAUACUCACACACUUCAGAAACAGGUGAUCACAAUAUUAGUACAUCAAUUCCCAAGUAUCAAUGUACAUUUUUUCCCCACAGCACUUGCUAAAAUCAAUUUGAAACAAGCAUUUGGUUUACUUAUUAAAGUUAACACACACUUUGACACACUGAAUUUGUUAUAAAAUAUGACUUGGUAUGAAAUAUAUAUUAUUCCAGGUUGACAUAUACAUGUUUUGGUCAUUGUUGGUGUUUGUAUGUUUUAAUCGAAUGAUUUUAGUGAAAUAAUCAAUAAAUCUUAACGCCAGGUCACAAUGUACAACUUGCAAAAAUUACAAUUUAAAUAAUAUAAAUAGUUUUUUUAUACACCCCAUAUUAAUUUUUGGUAUAUAACGUUGUCUGUUGUCAACAUGUCGGACACUAGCUCAAAAACAGUUUAAUCAAUAUUUAGAUUAUACUUGGUGAAUUGUUUAUCUAUUGACUAGAGCUCCAUUUUGGGUUUUUUUAACAAAUUUCAUAUUAUAUGUUUCCUAGUUUUUGUUUUUUUUCUUCUGUUUAUUAAUUUCUGUCCUCAUUACUUUAUAGAAUGCCUAAGAGGAAGUAAAGGUAGAAUGUGCCAUAUCACAGGAAAAGACGUGGAACUGGCAAACCAAAAUUAGACAAAGGGCAAACUGAAAUACAUGCACUUACGCCAGACAUCGCACAUGAUGAAGAUCUUUUGUCAUCUGAAACAGAAGAGCUUACAUGCACCAGUGUGGAUUCAGUCUCUUUGGAUCAUUCAUAUUUGUCUGAUAACCAGACAGUGGCAGAACUUUGUUUAGAUGAAAGAAAUUGAU